rnacentral:rRNA from 1 species
GAUUAACGCUGGCGGCGUGCCUAACACAUGCAAGUCGAGCGGCAGCGAGUUUUACACUGAAUUCUGGAAGCUUCUAGUUGAAAGAGAAGAUUUAUUCAAGAAUUUUGUGUAAAAUGUCGGCGAGCGGCGGACGGCUGAGUAACGCGUGGGAACGUACCCCAAAGUGAGGGAUAACGCAUCGAAAGGUGUGCUACUACCGCAUAUGGUCUUCGGAUUAAAGCCUUCGGGCGCUUUGGGAACGGCCUGCGUAAGAUUAGAUAGUUGGUGGGGUAAUGGCCUACCAAGUCGACGAUCUUUAACUGGUUUGAGAGGAUGAUCAGUCAGACUGGAACUGAGACACGGUCCAGACUCCUACGGGAGGCAGCAGUGAGGAAUCUUCCACAAUGGGCGAAAGCCUGAUGGAGCAACGCCGCGUGCAGGAUGAAGGCCUUCGGGUUGUAAACUGCUUUUAUAAGUGAGGAUUAUGACAGUAACUUAUGAAUAAGGAUCGGCUAACUACGUG